AUUGAACGCUGGCGGCAGGCCUAACACAUGCAAGUCGAGCGGAUGAAGGGAGCUUGCUCCUGGAUUCAGCGGCGGACGGGUGAGUAAUGCCUAGGAAUCUGCCUGGUAGUGGGGGAUAACGUCCGGAAACGGGCGCUAAUACCGCAUACGUCCUGAGGGAGAAAGUGGGGGAUCUUCGGACCUCACGCUAUCAGAUGAGCCUAGGUCGGAUUAGCUAGUUGGUGGGGUAAAGGCCUACCAAGGCGACGAUCCGUAACUGGUCUGAGAGGAUGAUCAGUCACACUGGAACUGAGACACGGUCCAGACUCCUACGGGAGGCAGCAGUGGGGAAUAUUGGACAAUGGGCGAAAGCCUCAUCCAGCCAUGCCGCGUGUGUGAAGAAGGUCUUCGGAUUGUAAAGCACUUUAAGUUGGGAGGAAGGGCAGUAUGUUAAUACCUUGCUGUUUUGACGUUACCAACAGAAUAAGCACCGGCUAACUUCGUG
rnacentral:rRNA from 1 species